AUAAAAGCAAAUUCUGUACAGUAAUUGGAAAAUACGCAUUGUUUAAAUUGUAUGGAUUUAAAAAAAAAAUGGAAUUAAGGAUUUUUGUGUAGUUUUGCUGACCACGUGGCUCAUUUCCGUUGCUUGACUUAUUAAAAUAUUGUAACGUUUACUCGCAUAUAACAAAAACAAAGUGCACAAACACAUGCUGUUAAUUAUGUGGGCUGUUUGGAAAAUGGAGCUUUGCUCUCGUGCAUACACUGAUCUUGACCACGCUGAAAACCAAAUGGAUAACUUCAUGUUCAUCAGGCUUUGUUUCAUAAGUCCUACACCCACUCAAACCGAUCAUGCAGAACCAAAUGGAUAACUUCACAAUCAGGCUGUUUCACAAGUCUUCCACAGAAUCAAACCAGAGGAAUUAUGUAAUUCAAGAGGACCUUGACAUGAGUGACCCUUGAUGGACGGCAGCAACAUGUGAAGGGCUUUGAAAGAUUUGUACCCCCCGAAGGCCCUUCACUGCCAAACCUACAUGGAGAAGCGGGUGAAGUACAUAAUGGCUUUCUGCUAAGCAGCCCACAUUUACCAAUGAUGGAGAACCUAUGACUUGGUUUUUUUUUUUUUUUUUUUUUUUUUUUUUUUUUAAAUUUAUGAGAAACUGUUACUUUUAAUUCUGAGCUGCUAAGGUUCCAGGAUGCUGUUUGACUAGUUUAAAUGAAUAAUUAAACCAGUUUGCUUUUCUUUUCCCCUUACAGUUUGUACUUGUUACUUUUUCAAUAAACUCAAAAUAUAAACUUUU